CUUGAACGCUGGCGGCAGGCCUAACACAUGCAAGUCGAACGAGUGGCGGACGGGUGAGUAAUGUCUGGGAAACUGCCCGAUGGAGGGGGAUAAGUACUGGAAACGGUAGAUAAUACCGCAUACCAUCGGAUGUGCCCAGAGGGGAUUAGCUAGGAGGUGGGGUAACGGCUCACCUAGGGGACGAUCCCUAGCUGGUCUGAGAGGAUGACCAGCCACACUGGAACUGAGACACGGUCCAGACUCCUACGGUAGGCAGCAGUGGGGAAUAUUGCACAAUGGGCCAAAGCCUGAUGCAGCCAUGCCGCGUGUAUGAAGAAGGCCUUCGGGUUGUAAAGUACUUUCAUCGAGGAGGCGUUACUCGCAGAAGAAGCACCGGCUAACUCCGUGCCAGCAGCCGCGGUAAUUC
rnacentral:rRNA from 1 species